ACGCUCGACACCUACUGGAGGCAGCAGUGGGGAAUAUUGCACAAUGGGGGAAACCCUGAUGCAGCGACGCCGCGUGGAGGAAGAAGGUCUUCGGAUUGUAAACUCCUGUUGUUGGGGAAAAAGNGGAUGGUACCCAACAAGGAAGUGACGGCUAACUACGUGGCAGCAGCCGCGGUAAUCUGAGCGGGCUGGCAAGGC
rnacentral:rRNA from 1 species